GGCCAGAUAGCUCAGGUGGUAGAGCAGUGGACUGAAAAUCCUCGUGUCGGUGGUUCAACUCCACCUCUGGCCA
rfam:Thioploca ingrica DNA, complete genome.